rfam:Schistosoma mansoni strain Puerto Rico chromosome 3, complete genome
AUGCGGCUGACGAGUCCCAAAUAGGACGAAACGCUCUUCCUGCAU